UUUACUUAGAUUUUACUUCUCUUGAAUAAUAUCCAUUUUCUUUUCUUUACCUCUCUCUCUUUUUGUUAUUUUCAAGUAGUUACAUGAAAGAGCAGAAUAAAGAAUUAAUCUAAUAUGCUGCAUAUAAAUAUAUAUCAUGCAAACAGCAUUUUCAUUAUGCCCAAUGAUUCAUAGCUUAUCACAAGUUAUUUUGAAUUAGAGAAUUGAGGCAUAAACUUGUGUAUUUCAUGGUUAUGCAUUAUACAGGCAAAAGUGAACUUCAAUUUAAUCAUACCAUGAAAUAAUUAUCAUUAGCAUGAGAAUGAAGCAUGAUAUCAAGAAGAUUAGCAAUUAAAUAUUUGAUCAUGCUACCAUAUAUUUUCAGACUAUUAAUUUUGCUCAACUAACUCACAAGAGAAGGGUUUAGAUUACCAAUGCAUUUAGC
rnacentral:lncRNA from 1 species